rnacentral:rRNA from 1 species
UACGUAGGGUGCGAGCGUUAAUCGGAAUUACUGGGCGUAAAGCGUGCGUAGUCGGUUAUUUAAGUCGGGCGUGAAAGCCCCGGGCUCAACCUGGGAAUUGCGUUCGAUACUGGAUAGCUAGAGUUCGGCAGAGGGAAGCGGAAUUUCUGGUGUAGCGGUGAAAUGCGUAGAUAUCAGAAGGAACAUCAGUGGCGAAAGCGGCUUCCUGGACCAGAACUGACGAUCAGGCACGAAAGCGUGGGGAGCAAACAGG